UUCAUAGCGAUCAUUACAAGUUUGAGUGAAAAAGACUUUCAUUCAAUUAAAAGGAAAAUGGGUGUAAAUCCCAUGCUGUCCCGCAGCUGUAAAUGAGGAGUUUUGUUUCAAAUACCACUAAGUGAUUACUUGGGAAGGUGAAGCAAAAUCAUGAUUCAUGAGCCAGAAUGCCUGCUUGUAAGGAGAUUCAUUG
rnacentral:ncRNA from 2 species